UACGGAGGGAGCUAGCGUUGUUCGGAAUUACUGGGCGUAAAGCGCGCGUAGGCGGCUUUGUAAGUUAGAGGUGAAAGCCCGGGGCUCAACCCCGGAAUUGCCUUUAAGACUGCAUCGCUUGAAUCCGGGAGAGGUGAGUGGAAUUCCGAGUGUAGAGGUGAAAUUCGUAGAUAUUCGGAAGAACACCAGUGGCGAAGGCGGCUCACUGGUCCGGUACUGACGCUGAGGUGCGAAAGCGUGGGGAGCAAACAGG
rnacentral:rRNA from 1 species